rnacentral:tRNA from 1 species
UUUUUUAAGGCUCAGUUGUUAGAGCGUAGGUCUCGUAACCGAAAGGUCGCGGGAUCGAAUCCCGCUAGAGGCU